CCUGGGCUGAGGCCAGGAUUGUACUGUGCUAACAGAGAAUUAAAAAUACAGCCCUGUUGUAUACCCCCUGCCUUCCACAAGCUUGCUCGCAGUGUGUUCCCUGUUAACACUUUCUAUGAAAACUGGCCAGAUCCCCUUCUCAAAACCAACGGGACUUCUCAGUGCCAGCAGAGCUUACAUCCACAUGAGCUGCACAGAUGGACGAGUUCAGUGCACCUCCUUGAUGCCAACAUGCGCGAAGGAAAAGUCACUUUUUACUUUCCCAGCAGAUACUGCUUUCCUGGGGUGGGGGGGACACCUGGCAGGUACCCACGCCUUCCUCUGGCCACAGAACGCCUCUGCCAGCAAUGAGGAGGAAGAGGAGAGAGGGGGCGGCUUCAAGGAGGAUUUGGAGGAGUUGCAGUUCUUGCAAGGCCAGUACCACGCUGAAGAAAAAAGGCCUGGAAGGUCCUGUACAUAAGGCAGACUUCUUCUCCCCCUCCCUAUCAGCCUCAAGGUUUCUGGGCACUGGGCUGACUACUCCUCUCCUUACCACCCUUGAAGGUCCCACGCACCCAGAAAACCAGGCAGUGAUGACCCUAUCACAGAAGAGGGAAGUGAAGCAGCACACAGAGCACUGUCUAUAAAAUCAAGCAGUUGCAAAUCCUAAGUGGGACUUGGCCACAACUGCUGCUGGACAGCAAAACCUAUGAUCUUUCAGUGGUCAGGGGUGCCUCCACUAUCAUGUACUUCCUCCAAGGAUUGAGUGAGUGACUUGUGUUCUUUCAUGUGUUUCAAGUUUAUAUUGUGACUGUUAUAUUGAUACUGCAAGCCAAGUAUGAAGAUUUAACCCAAUCUGCAGAGGGUUCAGGUGACUAGGAACCCAAAGCUAACCUGUGUUACAAAUUGUGUGCUAUGCUACUUAUAAAAUCGUGCUACACUGAUUCUGAUUAUAAAAAUCCUAUGCUAUUUUGGCCAUAAAAUUGUAUGCAUGCUGUAAAAUUCUGUUAAAAAAGCAAAGCUUUAAUUGUAACUACAACUUAGUGCUGUCAUCAUUCUGUCCAGGAUCCCCAUGGGUGACAAAACCCCGUUCACAUAAAAUUUCUCCUUGUCCAACUGGGAAUAAAUCAUCUAGAAGUCCCA
rnacentral:lncRNA from 1 species